CCUACGGGUGGCAGCAGUGGGGAAUAUUGCACAAUGGGGGAAACCCUGAUGCAGCAACGCCGCGUGAGUGAAGACGUAUUUCUGUAUGUAAAGCUCUAUCAGCAGGGAAGAAGAACGCCGGUCCCUGACUAAGCAGCCCCGGCUCACUACGUGCCAGCAGCCUCGGUCAUUCGGAGGGGGCAAGCGGUAUCCGGAUUUACUGGGUUUAAAGGGAGCGUAGACGGCUGUGCAAGUCUGAAGUGAAAGCCCGGGGCUCAACCGCGGAACUGCUUUGGAAACUGUAUAGCUUGAGUACUGGAGAGGCAGGCGGAAUGCCUAGUGUAGCGGUGAAAUGCGUAGAUAUUAGGAGGAACACCAGUGGCGAAGGCGGCCUGCUGGACAGAAACUGACGUUGAGGCUCGAAAGCGUGGGGAGCAAACAGGAUUAGAUACCCUGGUAGUC
rnacentral:rRNA from 1 species